GACGAACGCUGGCGGCGUGCUUAACACAUGCAAGUCGAACGGUAAGGCCCUUCGGGGUACGACGAGUGGCGAACGGGUGAGUAACACGUGGGUGAUCUGCCCUGCACUUCGGGAUAGGCCUGGGAAACUGGGUCUAAUACCGGAUAGGACCAUGGACUUCACGGUUUGUGGUGGAAAGCUUUUGCGGUGUGGGAUGGGCCCGCGGCCUAUCAGCUUGUUGGUGGGGUAAUGGCCUACCAAGGCGACGACGGGUAGCCGGCCUGAGAGGGUGUCCGGCCACACUGGGACUGAGAUACGGCCCAGACUCCUACGGGAGGCAGCAGUGGGGAAUAUUGCACAAUGGGCGCAAGCCUGAUGCAGCGACGCCGCGUGAGGGAUGACGG
rnacentral:rRNA from 1 species